CGCUGGCGGCAGGCCUAACAAUGCAAGUCGAACGGUAACAGGAUGUGCUUGCACAUCGCUGACGAGUGGCGGACGGGUGAGUAAUGCUUGGGAACUUACCUUUGCGAGGGGGAUAACAGUUGGAAACGACUGCUAAUACCGCAUAAUGUCUUCGGACCAAACGGGGCUCCGGCUCCGGCGCAAAGAGAGGCCCAAGUGAGAUUAGCUAGUUGGUAAGGUAACGGCUUACCAAGGCGACGAUCUCUAGCUGUUCUGAGAGGAAGAUCAGCCACACUGGGACUGAGACACGGCCCAGACUCCUACGGGAGGCAGCAGUGGGGAAUAUUGCACAAUGGGGGAAACCCUGAUGCAGCCAUGCCGCGUGUGUGAAGAAGGCCUUCGGGUUGUAAAGCACUUUCAGUUGUGAGGAAAAGUUAGUAGUUAAUACCUGCUAGCCGUGACGUUAACAACAGAAGAAGCACCGGCUAACUCCGUGCCAGCAGCCGCGGUAAUACGGAGGGUGCGAGCGUUAAUCGGAAUUACUGGGCGUAAAGCGCACGCAGGCGGUUUGUUAAGCUAGAUGUGAAAGCCCCGGGCUCAACCUGGGAUGGUCAUUUA
rnacentral:rRNA from 1 species